rnacentral:rRNA from 1 species
UACGUAGGGUGCGAGCGUUAAUCGGAAUUACUGGGCGUAAAGCGUGCGCAGGCGGUUUUCCAAGACAGAUGUGAAAUCCCCGGGCUCAACCUGGGAAUGGCAUUUGUGACUGGAAGGCUAGAGUGUGUCAGAGGGGGGUAGAAUUCCACGUGUAGCAGUGAAAUGCGCAGAUAUCAGGAGGAACACCAAUGGCGAAGGCAGCACUCUGGGACGGUACUGACGCUGAGACGCGAAAAGCGUGGGGAGCAAACAGG